CUACAUAUGCUCUCUCUCUGCUACAAAAGAGAAGUAAAUGCAUUUUACUUAUUUUAACUGUUAAAUUUCUGUUAAAUUAAAACGCAAUAUAAUAGUACGUAUUACGUUUUAAAUAAAAAAGCAUCUUUUUUUUAAGUUAUAUAAAGAUAUUUUGAGUUCCAAAAAUCAUUAUUUAGCUUUCGGACUCUACUUCACGCCACCCCUUUUCUGCAAGAUCUCUGUUACCUUUUCUUCCCUGCAAAAAUCCUCUCAAAUCAGACAAACCCCUCCCUUCUCCUGCAAAAAUCAUCUUGCCUUUUUCUUUUCCUUGCAAAAAUCUCUCAAUUUAUGCAAUUCUUUGACCAAAAAUCGACCUCCCUUUCUUUCUUUUCCAUAUUGUCUCAUCUCUCUCAGUCACUCCACCAGAUUCACAAGCAAUUUCUUCCUUUUCCAUCUUUAUCAAUGAGGAGAGAGAGGGGGACAGGUUUCCAAUGUGUCCCAGCUAUUCCUUCUCACUUAUUAAUUUCCUUCUAUAAAUUUGAUGAAUCUCACUAGUGUAAUGGUGUUCCGAUUACCAGAAGAGUUGAAAAUCUGUGAGAAAAAGCAAUAGGAAUCCGAGAGAAGAGUGAGUAUUAUUGUGAGGAUAAACUCAAAAUAAAUCCUAAAAUAAAAUUCUAGAGUUCUGAGUUAGAGGCACAGCUCAGCUAUGUACAGCAUCAGCGGGGAGGCUCUCGGUUCAGAUUGACAGUAAUUUUAAGGUGAUGGGAGCCUUUGAUGAACUAGGAUUCCCUUUCAAGGGAAAGAGGGGCAAACCCGUUAGACGUGCCUCACAGUGUUGUGAACCAAUUGUUGACAAUGAUUAGGCCAGUUUAACUAGUGUCAGUUUAAUAAUUAGGUUGAUGGUUAUAGUGGGCUAAAUGAUAUUUUGCUAAUGGGAAAAACUAAUAGGCUCGAUUUGAUUAACAAAACCUUGAAGAUGUACACAUUUCUUUCUUUAUUAUAUUCUUAAUAGUAUGAAGUGGAACAAUAGCUUGUUAAUUUACCUUAGCCUUUUCUAUCCUCUAUAUAUUUGACAUAUCUUAAUAUGAUUAUUGGCUGAGAAGAUUCAAAUUGCACUUGAAAAUAGGUUUUUCAAAUGAAGAUGGACAAUUGAGAUUCUGAAGAUCAAUAUGAAAACUGCCUCUCUAUUGCACCCUUUUCACAUUGAUCUUUAGAAUCCUAAUCGUCUUGAAAGACUUAUUUCUAAAUGCAAUUCAAUUCUUCUCGGUCUACAAUCAAAUUAGAAUAUGUCAAAAUUGAACUAAAGCAUAUUGAAUAUAGAGAGAUAAUAGAGGAUAAGUAAAUUUAGUAAGUUAUUUGGAAUAGGAUAAGGAAAGGAAAGGUUUAACUUCUAAGGCUUUGACGGCUUUGUCAAUUAACUCUAGCCUAUUUGUUGUGCGCGCUGGCAAAAUAUUGCUUAGUCUACUAUAUCCAUCAAUCUAAUAUCAUUAAAGCGCUAAUAGUUAGACAUAAUAUAGACAGCUUAAUUCAAAAGCAAAACUAAUGCAUAGAGUUGGCGGUAAGAUGACUCAAACUAGUAGAGUGUUUGAGGCCAGCCAUCGUUAACAGUUGGUUCACAGCCCUGCCACGGGCUACACAUGCACUAGUUAUACGUGAUAUAGAGGGACUAGGACGCAACCAAAUAACCUAGAAGUUGCAUGUAAUCUGGUACCCUGGAGGACCUGACUGGAAAUCUUUUGGUAGCACUCAACAAACAGGGAAACCUUGUGCUUGGUGUCCAGCGAAGUAUCCAACUUGGAAUCAGCAAUGUUUUCUUACCCACUGGAGCCUUCUCUGCUCUUUACAGGAAUCAGCAAUCUGUAUGCUGUAUAUAACUGUAUAUGCAGGUGGCUGCUGAUGCCUAUCAAAGUAGGGAAGAAAGUCUUGGUUCCUAUGUUGUAAGUUCUUAAGACCGCUCCCUCCCUGCACCCGCAGGGAAGUCAAAUUAAUAUUGAUUCAAAUUUGCUCCAUAGUUUGUAUUAUUUUGUGGUUCAUACUAAUAACAAUCUAUAUUUCCCUGGUUGAAGUUGUAGGUGUGCAUUUCAAGCA